AUUCCAGCUCCAAUAGCGUAUAUUAAAGUUGUUGCAGUUAAAAAGCUCGUAGUUGGAUUUCUGGCAGGAGCGACCGGUCCGCCGCAAGGUGUGCACUAGGUUGUCUCCAGUCAUCUUUGUGGGAACUGCUCUGGCAUUAGGUUGUCGGGGUUAGGGAACACAUCGUUUACUGUGAAAAAAUUAGAGUGUUUAAAGCAGGCUUAUGCCGUUGAAUACAUUAGCAUGGAAUAAUAAGAUAGGACUUUGGCGUCUAUUUUGUUGGUUUGCACACCAAGGUAAUGAUUAAUAGGGAUAGUUGGGGGUAUUCGUAUUUAAUUGUCAGAGGUGAAAUUCUUGGAUUUAUGAAAGACGAACUUCUGCGAAAGCAUUUACCAAAGAUGUUUUCAUUG
rnacentral:rRNA from 1 species